CAUAAUUUUCCUAACACACCGUUUUAUACCAACAUUAUGGCGGAUGAAGCACCGCAGACACCAGUAAUUAUCAUGGAAACUCACCUUCUGAUAUUUCUCUAACAAGUCUUCUAACAUUGGAUGAGGAAAUUUUACAGCAAGUAGGCUAUUAGCUGAUACGCGGCAGUACUACUACAAUUCCCAGAAUGCACCCAGCUACCCCGCGGCUGCCGUUGAAGCCCAUUUAGUGCAUCCAGUCAAAUUUAUGAGUGGCACUAAAAAGGAAUAUCUAAGGCACAAAGGAAAGUGUUUCGACUGGCGCAUGGCAAAGAUGACACCUUUCAAUAUUUGCAUAUAUGGCCGACUCCUCCCCUUUGCGGCGAUGCAACAUCAUUGGAGGACAGCAAAGCCACAGGAUGACAAUCGAGUGGAAGGCACAACUGUUGCUAAGGUGGAACACAGGCUUCCACCCCAUAAUGCUCUGGCCCACAUCUUGCUAGAUUACAAAGCACAUCCCAGUGGAGCAAACCCCAAACCAAACAUAAACCACACCUAUCGUCCACACAAACGCCCCCCCUUGAAUGACUUUGAGAUCCACGCAGCAGAGACGGACAAGCGCCAAACUAAGCAGGAGAUCCAAAACUAUAUCUCAGUCAUAGACAAGAUGGCAGGGGACAUCCAAGCUCUGAGGACGAAGGUGGUAAUGUUAGAGUUGGAAAUCCAGCAGCUCCGCAGGGAUCUUUCCCUGAAGGGAGACCUUGAGGACACAGGCAUCCACGCCACAGUUGGAAUUGCAGAGACACAAGACAUAUUCAAAGUUGCUCGAGAAACCAGUAAGGCCGCCUCACAAAAAGAUCGGAUCAUAAAUCCCCAGAAUGAGCUGAUAAAGUUAAAGCACCAAAAACAGCAGCAACAUGUACAGAUGGCAACAAUGGUGGUCUCACAGCAGGAAAAGAUGGAGAAUGUAAACCAUAGGUUUUCAGAGAAGAUGAAUCAUGGUGGAAAUACAAGGCUGGUACAAAGAAAGCAAAGAGGACAGCAAAUAGGGGAGUGGUGGAACGUGCAAGCUCCAACGGUCCAACAGAGACAGACAAGCAAGGAUUCAAACAUGCUAACCACUUUGACCACCGUGCGGCCAAGGUAAAUAUCUUAAAUUAGUGAAUUUGCAUUUAUUACUGCAUAAAGACACACAAGGUACAGAAAUCUAGUAGAAAGACUGGUACUGAUUCCCAGGUACUGGCUAUUGAUACCUAUUAUAUUUCUAAAAAUAAUGCAAUAUUUCCUUUUAAUAUGGCAUCAUUUACUGUUGUAAAGUGGUGGAAUUGCCGUUUCUGACAUGUAUUUUCUCACAGGCAUUUCAUACUUUCACAUAUUUAUGCUUGCUGCAUACUGUAUCUUCAUGUGUAGUUUUUUGUGGGUUUUGUUAAAUUUAGUACAUUUUUUUUAAACAAAUUUGGCAUACUGGCCCGUCUGUUGAUGGGCUCAUUUGCUUGGUAAUAAUCCCACACCUGGGCUGUGGUGCAUGGCUUUGCAGUCAUACUUUCCCUGCUAACUUUUACUACAUUAUCUUAUAAGGAAAUAUGUCUGUCCCCUAUGGGUGGUGUCAUGACAAAAAAAUAAUAGUUCCGUAGUUGUCCUAAGAGUGUCAUACCAUGAUUAAAGAUUCCAUCCCAAGCUUCCACAUGAUCCCGCCACACUUUGGCUCCAACGUGCCUGAGCAGAGACGGUGGUAUGUACAGCAUGGGUGAGGUAGUCUUGAACAUCAGAGUGAUGCAGUCAAUGAAGUGCUGGGCUUCCGGAUCGAUGUAGUCCAGCAUCAAACCGAGACGCUCGCCAUAUAGAACUGAGCUCACCGCUAUGAAAAUAGAAUGGAGUAAACAGUCAAAAUAGAGUCAGGUGUAGCCACAGUACACCUGCACAAUGUUUUGAGAUUCAAUACAGCUACAUUAAUACAUGAAGGAAUAACUGAGCCACAGAAUCUCUAUGCAUUAUGCACGUGUACCUAAUAUUGUGACCAGGAAGUGUGUUUUAAGAACAAGGCAUCCUCACACUCCAGUGCAUAUUUGAAGAGUUCUUGAGAGAGGUCAGUUGUCCACUUGUUCUGUCCGUUCCGUUGUAUCUUCUUGUGAACCCUGGCCACAAAGUCUUGGCCCACUUCAUCUAGCAAGGGCACAAAGCUUCCCAGCAUCUUGGGCGAGAUCACCUCCUUGUUAAGGAUGACCCGAUUUGACCUCCAUUCCUCCCCAUUCCUGCAAAUAUACAAAAACCACUGGUAAAAUUGAAAGUGUAGACAUGUAUUUGGAAGAUGAGGAUACCCACUUGAGUAGAACUCCAUAUUUGCGAUUCCUGUAGUCUCUGUACGAGGUCCAUGCUUCAACUUUCAGCCUUUUUGGAUAAUAACCCUCCGCUUUGAACAGGAUGGCAGCAUCAUCUGGGUUGAUGAUGUUUACACUUUCAUAGUAUCCUACUUUUUCUCUGAUAGCCACAAUACAAGAGAGAAAGAAGGGGACAUAUCAGUUUCACUAUGUUUUGGGAAUAUAUUAUUUUUAACAUGCCUUGCACAUUACAAAUUUCAAGCAGCCAAGUCGGAGAUGUUCAAUGCCUUGCUCAAAGUCACCUCAGUUGCUGGUCAGGGGGAACCAAACUGGUGGCACUUGGGCAGGCAUGUGCACAGAUAGACCCCUAGUGUUGCUUUUGAUUUGCAUUUAUUUGAGUUAUUGUGGGACUUCCCUGACCUGCUCAACAGUGCUCUCAAGCCCGCCCCUCCCCAUUCAGUGCUGACUGCUACAGCCCAUACAGACAGACAUGUAAUAAUGGUGUUGGGUUGCCAAUUAACCUAACAUGCAUGGAGAGCAUGCAAACUCCACACAGAGAUGCUCAACGGAGAUUUGAACCCAGAUCUUCUGACUGUGUGGCCAGCAUGCUAACCAAUAGCCCACCUAGACCCGAUUUGUAUAUAUAUUUUAUUUAUAAAUAUAUGUGUAAUAAUAACUUCUAUUAAUACAUUUUGUGAUGGGUGCCCUUUAUUCUGGCUUGAGCACCCGCCCCCCAAAACGUUCCUUCCUUUGGGUAACAAGCCACAAACUCUUAACCACAUAAUCACAACUACCAGACAAGUUUGCCAUAAUGUUUUGUCUGCAUUGAUUAUUUAACCAGUACAUCCGCCAUACCUGUAAAUGGGUCCAAAAGUGUUAAAAUUCUGCACCAUGAUUCGGUGAAGGUUUUUGAAACCAUCCAGCUUCCAGAAAUUAUACAGGUUGGCUAGACCGUUCUUCCACAGUCCAGGAAUCUCAUUGAAGGGUUUGAUGAUGGUGCUGCUCUCAGUGAAGGCCUGUCUGACCAUCGGCAUGCUGCUGCUGCUCCUGCGUACACCUCCUGCCAUCAGCUCAUCCAGACAGGUCACGGUGAGUGCAGAGGGUCCACGCCACAAACUCCACCUUGCCAUUCUGCGACUCUACUGUACUCCAUCCAGAAAAGCAGCUGUAUGGUUCAAGAGCAAGAGGCUGGUCUAAAGAGACCUCCCACUGCACACCCCUUUGCUCUCAAGGCUGUUCCAAGUUGCAGCACAUCGUGUCUUUGUGGGAUAUAUUACAAACUACACUCUUAUUACCGCAGUCAAAAAGUUUGUAACAAUUAUGUUAAUGUGAAAAACAACUCUCAGUACAAAGUAUCACAUUGUGAUAAAACUGAUCAUAUGCUCACGCCCAGUUAAGGAGAAAUUAAUUUAUAGCAAACAAUCAUGCAAUACAAGAAAAAGGCUUUCACAUCAACUGUGUUUCAUUCAAUAACUUAUUCAAAUGUUAUUUCUUAAGCAGCUUUAUGAGUUCCUCCAACUUCAUAGCCGUCCUCAUAUCCCCCUCAAUUUGAAGUCGACCGCAGUUGUAAGCAGAAAAUGGUAGCAGCGUGCCACGGAACAUGGCCAGAAGGUCAUCCUUGCACAUCGUCAGUGUUACAUCAGGCUGCCGGCACAGUGACCCCUCUCCAGCUGCACCGCGGCCUAAACAACACACACACAAAGUGAUAUUGUGUAACACCUUCAUUUGUAUGAUGUAAUUCCAAACAAUCUUCUCUGUAUGCGAUACCUUGGCUCAAAUCCACAUAGUAGCUGUGAUGCUGUCCAUCUUCUGAGCUGAUGUCAAACUGGAAGCAGGCGCCCACCUGGCACACCAAAGCUUCAGAGAGGACAAGCUUGACCCUGUGGAGCAGCUCUUCAACAGAGCCUGACGUCUGCUCAUCUAUAAAGGUGACACUGCUCUCUAAAGGGGGAAAAUAUAUGAUUUUGUUAAACAGCAGCACUCCAACAAUUGUGUGUGUCGGCCUACCUUGCUGAGAUUGUGAGCUUUGGCUGAUGAAGUGCAUGGCAAGCUGCUGAAGGGGGCCUGUGAGACCCUCCAUGCCUGGUACAGAGGGAGGAACAAUGAGGGGUCCAGAGGGUGCAUCCUCAGGUGAUUUGAGAAGAGAGCCAGGGAGAGUAAAAAAAGAAAGUGUGACGUGAGGCAGCCACGAGGAAGAUUUAAAGAGGCGUUCAGGUCCUGGACUGACACCACUGACAAGACUGGGUUCCAGAUUCUGAACUGAAUGUCUGCUCCUACAGACAAGAGGCCACCAUCCCUGGUAUUCACCUAAAUUACAUGAAGGGCAUCAUUCCUGUAUUUUAACUUUCAUGAAAAAAAAAAUCCUCUCCUUAUGCCAGAGUAACACAGCUUCCAGUCCGCUCUGCAACUUCAGUGUAAUACUUCCUCUAGCUGGUAAAGUCAGGCCUUCAAAAUACAGGUAAGGGCCAGAAAAUUAGAAUAUUUUCAUAAACUUGAUUUAUUUCAGUCAUUGUGUUCAAAAGGUAUAACUUUUACAUUAUAUUUAAUCAUUGCACACAGACUGAUGCAUUUCAAAUGUUUAUUUCUUUAAUUUUGAUGAUUAUAGGUGGCAACAAAUGAAAAUCCGAAAUUCCGUGGGUCAGAAAAUUAGAAUAUUGUGAAAGGGUUCAAUUUUGAAGACACCUGGUGCCACCCACUAAUCAGCUGAUUAACUCAAAACACCUGCAAAGGGCUUUAAAUGGUCUCUCAGUCCAGUUCUGAAGCUUACACAAACAUGGGGAAGACUUCAGAUUUGACAGCUGUCCAAAAGGCAACCAUUGACACAUUGCACAAGGAGGGCAAGACUCAAAAGGUUAUUGCUGAAAAGGUUGGCUGUUCUCAAACUUCUGUGUCCAAACACAUUAAUGGAGAGGCAAAGGGAAGGAAAAACUGUGGUAGGAAAAAGUGUACAAGCGAUAGGAAUCACCGCGCCCUGGUGAAGAUUGUGAAAAAAAACCCAUUCAAAAAUGUGGGGGAGAUUCACAAGGACUGGACUGCUGCAGGAGUCAGUGCUUCAAGAUCCACCACCAAGAGACGCAUGAAAGACAUGGGUUUCAACUGCCGCAUACCUCGUGUCAAGCCUCUUUUGAACAAGAAACAGCGCGAAAAGCGUCUCACCUGGGCUAAGGAAAAAAAGAGCUGGACUGCUGCUGAGUGGUCCAAAGUUAUGUUUUCUGAUGAAAGCAAAUUUAGCAUUUCCUUUGGAAAUCGAGGUCCCAGAGUCUGGAGGAAGAGAGGAGAGGCACAGGAUCCACGUUGCUUGAAGUCUAGUGUGAAGUUUCCACCAUCAGUGAUGGUUUGGGGUGCCAUGUCAUCUGCUGGUGUCGGUCCACUCUGUUUCCUGAGAUCCAAGGUCAACGCAGCCGUCUACCAGCAAGUUUUAGAGCACUUCAUGCUUCCUGCUGCUGACCUGCUUUAUGGAGAUGGGGAUUUUACGUUCCAACAGGACUUGGCGCCUGCACACAGCGCCAAAUCUACCAGUGCCUGGUUUAAGGACCAUGAUAUUUCUGUUCUCAAUUGGCCAGCCAACUCGCCUGACCUUAGCCCCAUCGAAAAUCUGUGGGGUAUUGUUAAGAGGAAGAUGCAGAAUGCCAGACCCAAAAAUGCAGAAGAGCUGAAGGCCACUAUCAAAGCAACCUGGGCUCUCAUAACACCUGAGUAGUGCCAGAAACUGAUCGACUCCAUGCCACGCCGCAUUAAUGCAGUCAUUGAGGCAAAAGGAGCUCCAACCAAGUAUUGAGUACUGUACAUUCUCAUAUUUUUCACGUUCAUACUUUUCAGUUGGCCAACAUUUCUAAAAAUCCUUUUUUUGUAUUGGCCUUCGGUAAUAUUCUAAUUUUCUGACCCACGGAAUUUCGGAUUUUCAUUUGUUGCCACCU